UACGUAGGGGGGCGAGCGUUGCUCGGAUUUAUUGGGCGUAAAGAGCUCGUAGGCGGUGUGUCGCGUCGGCCGUGAAAACUUGGGGCUUAACUCUGAGCGUGCGGUCGAUACGGGCAUCACUUGAGUUCGGCAGGGGAGGACUGGAAUUCCUGGUGUAGCGGUGAAAUGCGCAGAUAUCAGGAGGAACACCCGGUGGCGAAGGCAGCCCCCCUGGGCUGAGAUUGACGCUCAGGCACGGAAAGCGUGGGGAGCAAACAGG
rnacentral:rRNA from 1 species